AUUGCUUCUGAGCUGUGGGACAAGUGGCAGGAUAGCCGACGGACUUCUACCUGAAAAGAAGACAUAAAUGUUGUUCGCUGGGAGCAACUAAAACAUCUUCUACAGUCUGGAAAACAUAAGGGGCUUCGGAAGUUUGUCGAAGAGAUUAUAUUCACUUAUACCUAUCCAAGGAUUGAUUUGGAGGUUUCAAAACACAUGAAUCAUUUGCUGAAGGCACCAUUCUGUGUGCACCCAAAACCAGG